rnacentral:rRNA from 1 species
AACGGAGCUUAGAGAGCUUGCUUUUUAAACUUAGUGGCGGACGGGUGAGUAACGCGUGGGUAACCUGCCAUACACAGGGGGAUAGCAGUUGGAAACGACUGGUAAUACCGCAUACCUUACAUUAUUCGCAUGUUUGAUGUAAGAAAGAUUUUAUCGGUGUAAGAUGGACCCGCGCCUGAUUAGCUAGUUGGUGUGGUAACGGCAUACCAAGGCGACGAUCAGUAGCCGGCCUGAGAGGGUGAACGGCCACAUUGGGACUGAGAUACGGCCCAGACUCC